rnacentral:rRNA from 1 species
GAUGAACGCUGGCGGCGUGCCUAAUACAUGCAAGUCGAGCGAACAGACGAGGAGCUUGCUCCUCUGACGUUAGCGGCGGACGGGUGAGUAACACGUGGAUAACCUACCUAUAAGACUGGGAUAACUUCGGGAAACCGGAGCUAAUACCGGAUGAUAUUUUGAACCGCAUGGUUCAAUAGUGAAAGACGGUUUUGCUGUCACUUAUAGAUGGAUCCGCGCUGCAUUAGCUAGUUGGUAAGGUAACGGCUUACCAAGGCAACGAUGCGUAGCCGACCUGAGAGGGUGAUCGGCCACACUGGAACUGAGACACGGUCCAGACUCCUACGGGAGGCAGCAGUAGGGAAUCUUCCGCAAUGGGCGAAAGCCUGACGGAGCAACGCCGCGUGAGUGAUGAAGGUCUUCGGAUCGUAAAACUCUGUUAUUAGGGAAGAACAAAUGUGUAAGUAACUGUGCACAUCUUGACGGUACCUAAUCAGAAAGCCACGGCUAACUACGUG